CUACGGGUAGCACCAGUGGGGAAUAUUGGACAAUGGGGGAAACCCUGAUCCAGCAAUGCCGCGUGUGUGAAGAAGGCCUGCGGGUUGUAAAGCACUUUCGGUUGGGAGGACUGCUUCUAGCACUAAUAUUGUUGGAAGUUGACGUUACCUUCAGAAGAAGCACCGGCUAACUCCGUGCCAGCAGCCGCGGUAAUACGGAGGGUGCAAGCGUUAAUCGGAAUUACUGGGCGUAAAGCGCGCGUAGGCGGCUAGAUCAGUCGGGUGUGAAAGCCCCGGGCUUAACCUGGGAACUGCAUCCGAUACUGUCGAGCUUGAGUACAGGAGAGGAGAGUGGAAUUCCACAUGUAGCGGUGAAAUGCGUAGAUAUGUGGAGGAACACCAAUGGCGAAGGCAGCUCUCUGGCCUGAUACUGACGCUGAGGUGCGAAAGUGUGGGGAGCAAACAGGAUUAGAUACCCGUGUAGUC
rnacentral:rRNA from 1 species